rnacentral:rRNA from 1 species
GGAUAACCUGCCCUUGGGUCCCGGCAUAACCCCGGGGAAACUGGGGAUAAUUCCGGAUAACGCACAUAUGCUGGAAUGCUUUAUGCGUCAAAUGGAUUCGUCUGCCCAAGGAUGGGUCUGCGGCCUAUCAGGUAGUAGUGGGUGUAAUGUACCUACUAGCCGACGACGGGUACGGGUUGUGAGAGCAAGAGCCCGGAGAUGGAUUCUGAGACAUGAAUCCAGGCCCUACGGGGCGCAGCAGGCGCGAAAACUUUACAAUGCGGGAAACCGUGAUAAGGGGACACCGAGUGCCAGCGUCAUACGCUGGCUGUCCAGGUGUGUAAAAUACACCUGUUAGCAAGGGCCGGGCAAGACCGGUGCCAGCCGCCGCGGUAACACCGGCGGCCCGAGUGGUGAUCGUGAUUAUUGGGUCUAAAGGGUCCGUAGCCGGUUUGGUCAGUCCUCCGGGAAAUCUGAUAGCUCAACUGUUAGGCUUUCGGGGGAUACUGCCAGACUUGGAACCGGGAGAGGUAAGAGGUACUACAGGGGUAGGAGUGAAAUCUUGUAAUCCCUGUGGGACCACCUGUGGCGAAGGCGUCUUACCAGAACGGGUUCGACGGUGAGGGACGAAAGCUGGGGGCACGAACCGGAUUAGAUACCCGGGUAGUCCCAGCCGUAAACGAUGCUCGCUAGGUGUCAGGCAUGGCGCGACCGUGUCUGGUGCCGCAGGGAAGCCGUGAAGCGAGCCACCUGGGAAGUACGGCCGCAAGGCUGAAACUUAA